rnacentral:rRNA from 1 species
GUAUUUUUAGAUAAAAAACCAAUGCCCUUCGGGCUCCUUGGUGAUUCAUAAUAACUUAACGAAUCGCAUGGCCUUGCGCCGGCGAUGGUUCAUUCAAAUUUCUGCCCUAUCAACUUUCGAUGGUAGGAUAGUGGCCUACCAUGGUGGCAACGGGUAACGGGGAAUUAGGGUUCGAUUCCGGAGAGGGAGCCUGAGAAACGGCUACCACAUCCAAGGAAGGCAGCAGGCGCGCAAAUUACCCAAUCCCGACACGGGGAGGUAGUGACAAUAAAUACUGAUACGGGGCUCUUUUGGGUCUCGUAAUUGGAAUGAGUACAAUCUAAAUCCCUUAACGAGGAACAAUUGGAGGGCAAGUCUGGUGCCAGCAGCCGCGGUAAUUCCAGCUCCAAUAGCGUAUAUUAAAGUUGUUGCAGUUAAAAAGCUCGUAGUUGAACCUUGGGUCUGGCUGGCCGGUCCGCCUCACCGCGAGUACUGGUCCGGCUGGACCUUUCCUUCUGGGGAACCUCAUGGCCUUCACUGGCUGUGGGGGGAACCAGGACUUUUACUGUGAAAAAAUUAGAGUGUUCAAAGCAGGCCUUUGCUCGAAUACAUUAGCAUGGAAUAAUAGAAUAGGACGUGCGGUUCUAUUUUGUUGGUUUCUAGGACCGCCGUAAUGAUUAAUAGGGAUAGUCGGGGGCGUCAGUAUUCAGCUGUCAGAGGUGAAAUUCUUGGAUUUGCUGAAGACUAACUACUGCGAAAGCAUUCGCCAAGGAUGUUUUCAUUAAUCAGGGAACGAAAGUUAGGGGAUCGAAGACGAUCAGAUACCGUCGUAGUCUUAACCAUAAACUAUGCCGACUAGGGAUCGGGCGGUGUUUCUAUGAUGACCCGCUCGGCACCUUACGAGAAAUCAAAGUUUUUGGGUUCUGGGGGGAGUAUGGUCGCAAGGCUGAAACUUAAAGAAAUUGAGGGAAGGGCACCAAAGGC